AGAUUGAACGCUGGCGGCAUGCCUAACACAUGCAAGUCGAACGGGAGUAGCAAUACUCUAGUGGCGGACGGGUGAGGAAUACGUAGGAAUUUGCCCUUAAGUGGGGGAUAACCCGGGGAAACCCGGAUUAAUACCGCAUGACCUCGAAAGAGCAAAGUGGGGGAUCGCAAGACCUCACGCUUUUGGAGAAGCCUACGUCGGAUUAGCUAGUUGGUGAGGUAAUGGCUCACCAAGGCGACGAUCCGUAACUGGUCUGAGAGGAUGAUCAGUCACACCGGAACUGAGACACGGUCCGGACUCCGUACGGGAGGCAGCAGGUGGGAAUAGUUGGACAAGUGGGCGCAAGCCUGGACUCCAGCAAGUGCCGCGUGUGAGAAGGAAGGCCGUUGGUUAGGUAAGACGUAACUUUAAGGUAGGGUAAAGAAAAACGUACGUACUACCGUAACAC
rnacentral:rRNA from 1 species